UUUGCUUGCAGGAGUCGUGGACUGAGAUAGGUGGUUUGACUUGUCAAAUUGAAUACAGAUGAACAUUCCUCCCAGACAAAAGGUGCCACUACAGAAAGCUCUUGCUGCCAAUGGAGGCACCCACCAGCUGCCCUUGAGAGACAGAAGGUAAGGGCUUCUUUACCUGGGGGAACAGUGUCUCAUUUGAUUACAGGAGAUCUGUACUGGAUAUCCCAGUCUGAGCUCCCAAAGUGAACACCGUCAACAUUCCUCUCAGACAAAAGGUGCCACCUCAGAAAGCUGUUACUGUCCAUGGAGUGCCUGAGGUACCCCACCACCUGCACCUGAGACCCGUAGGGUAUGUGGGGUUUUUUCCUGUAGGUAAGAUCUGUUCUUUUCUUGCAGGAGUGCUGCAUCAAGAUAGUUGCUUAGGUUCCCCAAAUUGAACGGGGAUGAAGAUUUCUCCCAGACAAAAAGUCAAAAGACAGAGCGCUCUUGCUGCUCAUGGAAUGUCCUGGGUCUCUCACCAAUUGCACCUGAGAUCCUGAGGCCAUUCACUCAUAGGAGUCCUGCAGCAAAGUAGGUGGCGGGACUCGGGAAACUGAAGUCAUAUGAAGAUUCCCUCCAGAUACAAGGCAUCAGGACUGUGAGCUCUUACUUCCCACAGAGUGCUUUACAACCUACACCUGAUAACCAGAGGGUUCCUCCCAGGCAAACCGGCCCAGGGCAGAAAGCUGUCGCCGCUCCCGGAGAGUCACACCGCCCACCUCCGUG